rnacentral:lncRNA from 1 species
UUCACGUGUCCAAAUUUCUCCUACCCUCCAGCAUUGCAAGGUCAGAAACUCCACUCCACAAGGUCAGAAACGCUCUUCUAGGUUAAGUGUCACUCUCAAAGGCUCCACUUUUAAACUAUUCGCCCAUGGGAUGGCACGAACACGAUGGGAUGAUGAAAAGGGUGUCAGACUGGAGCGAGAAUAGCUGAGUGACCUUUAAAAAGGUAUUUAGGGGUUUUGUGUAUGCUUCGGUUUAUUUAUUUGUAAAAAUGAGAACCAAAAACAUUGAGUGGUGUAGGUUAGCGGCGAUGUAUAAAAAGUGACUGGCACACCAGACAUGUUGAUGCACACUUGGCAGUAGCUGCUUCUGUCAUUGUUAUACCAAGAGAUGCCAGGGUAUUUGGAGUUUGAAGGAUAAAAAUAAGGACAUAGUGUCACUCCGGGGAAUUGAGACUCAUGGAAUUUUUCUCCACUGAAGUGAUAUAUCCUGGUAAAUGAUUGCUGCCUGGAAAAUUAGAUCACUUGGAGGUAUGUCAUGCAAUUCUAAAAAGCAGCCGUUACCUGGCCCAGCAAACAGGUGAUGGCCUGUGCAAUAUGAAAAAUUCCUGCCAGAAGAGCUCCCCACCCUCAAACCUCACUCCUCUAUUCAUUGUUAGUGAUGAACUUUUUUUUUUUCCUGAGUGGCAAUUAAUAUGCAUCCUGUUAAAAAUGUGAAUACACUUAUGUGCUGGGCAUUUGCCUGCUUGUUUUCAGAUGCAUUGCUUUCAACAUAAAACAAGCGCAGGAGGAGAAUCAGGUGCUGUUGGGACAACUCGGCAUGGAGUCUUGGAACAAUAUGGAUUCAGAGUCUGGAAGCCCUGGGCACAUAUUGUGAAUCCUGACUAUCAGUUAUUGGCUGCGUGACUUUACACAAGUUGCUUAACUUCUCUGAGCCUCAGUUUCCUCAUCUGUAAAAUGGAGGACAGUUUCACUUGCUUCUCUUACCUACAUUUUGGAAAACAUAAUGUCCAACAUCUCCUAAGUGUGAUGUUCCAAGAUGAACCGUCUGCUGGUCUUCACUCUAAAUUCACAGAGAAGGCUUCUGACUGGCCCAGUGUGGGUGAGCUGCUCAUUGCC